AACUGGAAUAAUCGAAAUCCUUCGAAUCUAUCCUCAACCACUUUCAAUAUCGUGCUAAGUUCAUUGAAAAUUCGGGGAAACCUCGGAAAGGCCCCCCCACCCUAGGUAGAUGAGAGUCUAUAUAUAGGGCUAUUAGCAUACGAGGAAUCGAUUGAGACUAAUUAUAGAGCUGGAUCACUAAACGUUUCAGAGAUACAGGGGAAAUACAGUUACAUACGAGCCGAGCAGCCCAUUUCGCACUAUUCGGCAGUGUGGGACUCGUAUUAUCCACUAAAAUCCCUUCCCCGCGUGGGGGUGUACUUCCGAAAGGUCUCUCCACUCUAGGGCAGCCAAACUUCGGAUUUAUAGUAAUUGAGAAACGAGAAAAACUAAAAUCAAAAUCAAAGAAUAAAAGAUUUAAAAUUCGAAUUAAAGUUGGAAGAGUGACGAGUGAGCAUUUUGGAUCUGCUGAGGGAGCAUAUGAAGAAACAAGGGACCCAUCGAUGGAGCAAGAGAGCCAUUGCGCAGCCUCACACCCUCCUGCGCAUGCGCAGUCUGAUUUUCAAGCCGAAUGUGAGUAUAUUUCAUAUAUCUCGAGAACGGUUUAUUUGCCGGACUUGAAAAUGGUCUCAUUCGAUUUCUGGUCGCUAGAGUGGAGGGGCCUUUCGGAAGUACACCCGAAAAUUCUUCCAAGUAAGUAAUUUUUCUCUUCUUCUUUAACGGGUUAAACAACACGUGAAUCCAUAGCGUACGAUGAAAACUAAGAACAGUGAAUUCUUCUAACAGUCUAGUUGGAGCAAGCUAAGUCCACGGUUGGUUUACGGAGGGCGCGAUAACGAUCUCUCUGUAUUCUCAUUAUACGUAUUACCCCGACACUGUAGUUUUCUGUGAUCACGUGCCGUGCUGGUAAUUAUCCAGUUCGGUUAGCGAACGUGUCUGAUCGUAACCGCGAUGCUUGCGAGGUGCACUUCCUCGCCGGCGGGAAAUAAAAAGUGGCCGUCAGUUUGCAAAUGAAGCCGGCCGAAUAACGUUUUGGAUAAAGGAUAAAAACUGGUUCUGACAGUGAACACUCACGAAAUAACGGGCUGCGGCUCGUCAAGUGGACCGAGUUUACUGGACAACAACGUUUACGACUAUCUAAAUGGGUCAGAGACGUAACGAGCCUGCACUCUCGCGAAUUACAGCAACGUUGACCCACUAUCCUCUAGCUAAUUAUUUCUGUAAUCGCGACGAUUAUGCGUUCCGGAUUCCCUUUUUUUUUAAACGAGCCAGAUAACGAGCGAAAUUAAUCAUGAAUAUUUUAUUUAUAGAACCACGUUAAUGUUAUUCUAAACGGUAAGUAAUAAUACGAUAAGGUAUACUGACGAGAGUUGGACGUUCAAUUAUGCUCAGAAUAAAACGGUGAUUAAACACGAACAGAUACUUCAUACUAACACGUCAACUAUCUCGAGGAUAAGAAAUUUAAUAUAUUCAAAUGAUUAAGAAAUGAAGUGUAUCAUCUUUGAAAAUAGUGCAGCUAAGAAACACAGGACGAAUGUAAAUGGAUGCAUGAUCCUUUUUGAUUAACAGUACUGUGGCAGUCAGAACGGAAGUGACGAUUGUUACCUGGAGUGCCAGCACUCGGGACCGGUUCAAGCUACUGGUCAGACAAACCGCCAGAGCGAGAAGACCCGGUUGAGCUUGCACCAGGAGCCUCGGUGCAUCGGCGCAUCGCUCGGCGCAUGCGGCCAGACACUCGACGCAGCCCAACUCGUCCAGAGCAGCUCUCCUUGUGCCGACCCUUGGACCCGUGUGACCGGAAGUGGGUGGCGAACUUUGGGCCAGCUGUACACCUCGAAGUGUCUCGAGUAACAAAGUGAUCCCAUCGGCUGGAGGCGAAGCGAAUUCCUGGACGAAGCUGAAAAAGAAAUGAAUCCUCUCGUUUCUAUUGCCUGAUUUUCCACAGUCGCGUAGCGAGCGGAAGAGUAUCGAUAGCGGAACGAAAGGGAGGUAUAUAUACGUUAACCUUGAAGAGAAACGAUCGCACGCGUAACAGGCAUUGAACCGGUGACAGAGAAAA